rnacentral:miRNA from 1 species
GUGAGCAAAGUUUUUGGGUGGU